UUGCUGGUUGGAUUUUAACAAAUUUGGUACCAAUAAAAACAGAAGUCAUAGGUUUGCUUUUUAGCUCACUGGGGCCCGAAGGGCCCCAUGUGAGCUUAUGCCAUCACUUGGCGUCCGUCGUCUGUCGUCGUAAACUAUUUCAAAAAUCUUCUCUUCUGAAACUAAUGGGCCAAAUACUUUCAAACUUUAACUAAAUGUUCCUUAGGGUAUCUAGUUUAUAAAUUGUAUCCGAAGUUUUGAUCCAUCGACAAACAUGGCCGCCAUGGCUAAUAAUAGAACAUAGGGGUCAAAUGCAGUUUUUGGCUUAUAUCUCAAAAACUAAAGCUUUUAGAGCAAAUCUGACAUGUGGUUAAAUUGUUCAAUUGGUCAAGAUCUAUCAGCUCUGAAAUUUUCAGACGAAUCGAACAACCCAUUGUUGGGUUGCUGCCACCAAAUUGGUAGUUUUAACAAAAUUUUGCAGUUUUUAUACGACCGCAAAAAAAUUUUUGUGGUCGUAUAUUGGUAUGACGUUGGCGUCGUCGUCGUCGUCCGAAUACACAUUAGUUUUCGCACUCUAACUUUAGUUUAAGUGAAUGGAUCUCAAUGAAAUUAUACCAUAAGGUUCAAUACCACAAAAGGAAGGUGGGGAAUGAUUUUGGGGGUUAUGGUACUAACAGUUAAGGAAUUAGGGGCCAAAAAGGGGCAAAAAAUAAGCAUUUUUGUAACUUCCAGACAUAACUUGUGUGUAAGUGUAUGGAUCUCUCUGACAUUGUACCACAAGGUUCCAUAUCACAAAAGGAAUGCUGGGAUUGAUUUUGGGGGUAAUUGCCUCCAAAUUUUAGGAAUUGGGGGCCAAAAAGGGGCAAAAAACAAGCAUUUUUCUAGUUUCAUGACAAUAUCUUGUUUGUAAGUGUAUGGAUCUUUAUGAAAUUGUACUACAAGGUUCCAUAUCACAAAGGGAAGGCUGGGAUUGAUUUUGGGGGUUUUCCCUCAAAAUUUUAGUAAUAAGGGGCCAUAAAAGGGCAAAAAAAACAUGCAUUUUUCUAGUUUCAGGACAAUAACUUGUGUGUAAGUGUAUGGAUCUUUAUGAAAUUGUACUGCAAGGUUCCAUAUCACAAAGGGAAAGCUGGAAUUGAGUUUGGGGUAAUUGCCCUAAACGUUUAGGAAUUUGGGGCCAAAAAGGGGCCAAAAAACAAGCAUUUUUCUAGUUUCCAGACAAUAACUUGUGUUCAAGUGUAUGAAUCUCUCUGAAAUUGUACUGCAAGGUACCAUACCACAAAGGGAAAGCUGGGAUUGAGUUUGGGGGUGAUGAAUCAUAAGGGGGUUCAAAAAAUUGGGGGGGGGAUUUUUUUUUCCUUUUUUUUCUUUAACAUUUUCCAUUUUAAAUUGGUUAUUUCUGAUUUAUAUAUAAAAGCAAAUAAUAAUGAUAUGGUUUGAAUAGGCAUACAUGUGAACCUCCCGACGGGAGUACAAUAAUCCCGUUUUCAGGGGUCUCCUCCCGACCUCCCGUUGAAGAGGAAAAAAUCCCGUGUAUGAAAUUUUUCAUGAAUGAAAAAUUUCUGCCCAACAUAUCAUCUCAGGCAUCUGGUGUAACUGACAUUACCUGAAGUUAUAUUUUACCUGUAAAUCAAUUAACAUGCAUAAUUAUAUGGCUUCACUUGUCAGCUUGGGUGUCAAACAUACAGGUAAUCAACGAUUUUUACCUCAGGCUAACUGCUGUUGUGUAACAAAAACUGUGUAUUUAUUGGGUUACUUCCCUUGAUUUAUCCUGUUUUAAGUUACUUUCCUUUUAAUAAUGAAAAUUUUUAAAAGAAUAUAAAUAAAAUAUAAAUUGAACAAAUAAUCAUAAAAGGAUGGUUAUUAAAUGAUUUUAAAUGUCUUAGGACAAAUAAAAAAAUAAUAAUUUGAAAAUUAUUUGAGGAUUCUAGACUUCCUUUCAAGGCUUAAAUUGAAAUUUAUAUAAUAACUAUGACCCUAAUUUUACAGAUAAAAUGAUUUUUUGAGUUUGCAAAUAAAAACUAUUUGCAAGAGAAAAAAUAAAAAAUAAAAACUAUUUGCAGAUAGCUAAACAAAUGUUCUGG